UCCUGUUCUAAUUUCGCCGUUUACUCAUCCGAAAACUCAUCUACUUGACUAUUAGUUGCCGUUUAACGCUCAUCUAAUGGUUGUUGCUCUUUUGCCUGCUUUAGCUCAGUCUGCUGUCCUUACCAACGGUGCUGGACUUUUCAGUGUCCUCCAAGUUGCCUCUUUGAGUUCUGUUCAUCCUGAAAUAUUUGCACUGCACAGUAAUUUCUUCAGAGAUCUUGAUGUUUGUUAGUAAUGUAAAGAUGUUCCAUGAGAGACCGAAUUCAGGGGCAACAUGGCUGGGUUGAACACUGGAACCGGAAGGAUAACAAAGAAUUGUUAUCCAACUAAAACUCAGUGAAAUGCUAAGAGCUAUAUCCUUGUUUCUAGCGACGCAUGCCUAGUAGAGAUGUCUCUCAAGACUGUUCAUAGUUUGUACAUAGCUGCCUAGCACAGAGGAGACAUCAUUUUCUUUCCCUCGUUAUUACAUUCUUCCUUGAUUCUUUGACCCCAUCCCUGAAUGCGGGUAUAUUUGAUAUCAUAACAAAUAGUGUAAAUAAUACAUGCUUGGAUUCAGUACCUAGAUAACAUUUUUUGUUUCUAAAAUCGGGUAACUGAAGUGAUAUUUGUUCCAUUGCAAGUAGGCUAUGGAUACAGGCACCAAUGACUUGGUUAUAGGCAGUGCCUGGUUUAGUGAUUUGUGAUGACACCGUGUUUUUUUUUUUAAAUAAAUUUUUUUCUUUAA